UUGGGACGGAAUAAUUUUAUAAAAAUAAAUAAAUAAAUAAAUAAAUAAAGUAAAAAAAAUAAAAAAAAAAGUUAAAGAAUUAUAUAAAAAAAGAAGCAACUGAAGAAUAAAUAACUAUUGCUGUAAUAAAAAUAUAAGACUAAAAAAAAAUAAGGAUAAAAAUCAUACGAAUUUGUUAUCCUGACUAUUAAAAAUAGUAUUGAUCUAUACAAUAAAAUUUUAUAUUUAUUUGAUAUAUUGACUAUUAAAAAAUAAAAUUAAUUCAUGCGAUAAAAUUUUACAGUAGAUAAAAAUAAAAAAAUAUAGAAAAAAAAAGAAAAAAAGUAAGAGAGAGGGGGAGAGAGAAAAAAAACGGUGGGGCGCACCAGCCCCGUAAAAUUCAGGCUCUCCUUUCAUUAGUAUUGUAGAUUACAUUAGCACAUGUCAUGUGGGAGAGCAAAACUAUUUAUAUUCUGAAUAUAUAUAUAUAUAUAUAGAGUUGAGCUAGAAUGCUAUCGAUAGCAAACUGGCACUUUUGCCACCCAUUUGCUUUCAAUGAUGGAGCCUCCAAAUCGACGAUCGGCACCGUUGAACAUGAUCUAUACUACUUGAAGUGUUUAGAAAUCAAAUUUCAAAUUUUUUCAACAUCAUUUGCCUAAUGAUCAAAGGGUUUCAAAAUUUAUAAUUUUAAUGGUCGAUAUGAGGCGUUUUCUCGUUUAACGACGAAAAGAUAUCCAAAUCAACUAAAUUUUUGUUAGAAAAUUCUUUAAACUAUUUAAAACAAGAUCUAUACUCUUGAUCUUGAUUAUAAGACUCCUAUUAUCAUUUUUUUACGAAUAUUAAUUUUCAGCCGUUCAUUUUUGUGUCCACUCGAUGGAUAAGAAAACAAUAUCGAAAAUGUAUGAAAUUUGAUUUCUAAAUAUUUCAAAUAGUAUAGAUCAUGUUCAACGGUGCCGAUCAUUAAUUUUGAGGCUUCAUCAUCGAAAACAAAUGGGUGGCAAAAGUGCCGGUUUGCUAUCGAUAGUAUUCUAGCUCAACUCUCUCACUCUCUCUCUCUCUCUCUAUAUAUAUAUAUAUAUAUAUAGAAAGAGAGAGAGUAGAGCUAGUAUACUGUUAUGAGUAUAGAAUUCUUCAUACUCAUAAAUUAUUUUCGAUGAUGGAGUUUCCGAAUCAACGAUCCACUCCGUUAAAUACAAUCUAAAGUAUUUAGAACUAUUUAAAAAUAAAUUUCGUAAGUUUUUGAAAUCAUAAUAAAAUUUAUCAAGCGAGUAUAAAAUAAACGGUCAGAAUCAAACGACGUUCUAAAAAUGGACGAUCGGAUUCUUUAAUUUAAGAUCAUAGUUAUUGUUUUUUAUUUAGAGAGUGAAUAUAAUUUUAUAUCAAAAAUUUAACUUAUUCUAAUUCUUUUACACUAUUAAACUAGCAAGUAUUCCAUACAUGUCGUUAAAAAUUAUCAAUUUUGAGAUCUUUCGAUCAUAAGAUAAAUGACGUCAAAAAUUAUAAAUUUGAUUUCUAUAAAUUUUAAAUAUUUUAGAUAACAUUUAAUGAUAUGAACCGUUGAUUUGAAAAUUCUAUCAUCGAAAAUAAAUAAUGGAUACAAAAAUAAUCAUACUCAUAAAAGUAUAAUAGCCAAAUUCUAUAUAUAUCUAGUGAGAUU
rnacentral:lncRNA from 1 species